GCUCAGGCUGUGCAGAACUGCAGCAUCAUGUAAUUCCAUGGCGCAUUCCUGUGGUUCCUGCCCGUCUCCAGCUAGGUUUGUUUUUUUUUCCCAAAGCAACAGAAUUUUUUUCCCUUAAAAAAACAAGAUAUCAAAAACCAAGGUUGUUUUUUUUUUUUGUUUUCUAUAGCAGGAAUUUUAUAUAUAUAUAUAUUAAAAGUGCUAAAAGAUGCUUUGAUUUUUUUUUGUAAAGAAAAAAAUCUAUUUCUAUAUAAAGAAAACCAAACCAAAAAAUAGCUUUUCAGCUUCAAAUAUUUUUUAGAACUUCAGCCAAAGACAGCAAAGAACUGUGUUUACAGAGCAGCCAUGCGGGAGGAGCUUGUAGUUGAAAUGCUCCUUCCAUUGUACCUUUUUUGCCAAAGCUUUUUACAUAGGACAGGGAGAAGCGCAGCCAUACCCACUGGAGCUGCGUGCCACAGGGGCUGCUGUCCUGUCUCAAGUGGAGCACAGUGCCUUUACAACCCUUUUUUCUUGGGAUCCGAAGCCAAAAUUCCCUUUUUCUUCUCGUUUUUGAGUUGUGAUUCCUGGCGGUGCUGGCGCGGGGGCUCCCGGCAGCUCGCGGGCGAUGCCCACGUCUCUGCGUGGCCAUCGCCCCCUCCCCAGCCCCCUGCCCGCCUGCACUCCCUGCUCUAUGUACUGUAUUCCCCUUAUUCCCCAUCCAGGCACCUCUUGCCUUUUUUCUAAAUCAGCCAAGUUGUGCCUUAGCUGAGGUUGGGGUUGGGCUGGGAGCCCCACUGGAGUGGAGAUGGAGCAGGGCAAGUGAAAACACCGGAGCUGCGUUUUGGGACCAGAUGGAUUUGACAGCUGGGGUGAUGGACCUCAGUCCCACAAGCUCAGCCCCAGCAGGGCCCCCCAGGCCCCUUCUUUGAGAGCCACUGCAUCCAGAGGGGUUCAUCCCCGACUGAUCCAGAGGGGUUCAUCCCCACUGAUCCAGAGGGGUUCACCCCCACCUUCCCUCUCCUGCAGUCAUUCAGGCUCAUCUCUGGUGGCCAGAGCUCAGGAGCUGUUUCAGGGAUUCAGAGAAAGAUGUUCAGUCCAGGUCGGAGCUGGUUUGCCAGGAAAGCACCUAGGAAGGCUUUUUGUUCGAGUGAGGCAGAUUUUGGGGUCUGAUAGGUGCAGCUUCCCCCUUGGCAGGAGCCCAUCCAGCCUUUGGCAGAUCUCUUGGCUUUUUGCCUCGAUUGGGAAAUGCCUGCAGCCCCCCCUGACCUCAAGUGCAGCAGAGGGGUGGGGCUGGAGAAGGUGCCAGGACAAGCCCCCCACUCCAGUGGGUUUUGGGGAGGUUGUUAUGUAUCUAUGCUUGCAAAGCUUCUGUAUCACUGCCUGUACUUUCUUCCAGAGUCAAAAUACAGCUGAACCCUUCCCAUGCCGUGUGCUGUCAUCAUUGCUCUCCGGGGGGAUUUGGGGGUGCUGUGCUGCCCCCCCAGCAGCAAAGGGAUCCCCCCAAGGAUCUCUUUCCACCGCACAGGCAGGGCUGGGGCUCAGCACCCACUGUGGAUGGGGGGAAUGGGGUGGCUUGCUAAGAGCUGGGCCAGGAGAGGGACUGGCCAGGGG
ensembl:lncRNA